AGAGUUUGAUCCUGGCUCAGAGCGAACGCUGGCGGCGUGCUUAACACAUGCAAGUCGAACGUGAAAGGGAGCAAUCCUGAGUAAAGUGGCGUACGGGUGAGUAACGCGUAGGUAAUCUACCCCAGAGUCUGGAAUAACCUGCCGAAAGGCGGGCUAAUACUGGAUAGAGCGACGGAAUCCGUAAUUGGGUUUUUCGGGAAAGGGAGGAAGCAAUUCCCUUCGCUCUGGGAUGAGCCUGCGUCUCAUUAGCUAGUUGGUAGGGUAACGGCCUACCAAGGCUAUGAUGGGUAGCUGGUCUGAGAGGAUGAUCAGCCACACUGGAACUGAAACACGGUCCAGACUCCUACGGGAGGCAGCAGUGGGGAAUCUUGCGCAAUGGACGAAAGUCUGACGCAGCCACGCCGCGUGAGUGAAGAAGGCCUUCGGGUUGUAAAGCUCUGUCGAGCGGGACGAAAAAUUUUUAGGUGAAUAGCCUAGAGAUCUGACGGUACCGCUAAAGGAAGCACCGGCUAACUCCGUGCCAGCAGCCGCGGUAAUACGGAGGGUGCAAGCGUUGCUCGGAAUUAUUGGGCGUAAAGGGUAGGUAGGUGGUCUCAUUUGUCUGGGGUGAAAGCCUUGGGCUUAACUCAAGAAGUGCCCCAGAAACGGUGAGACUGGAGUCCUGGAGAGGGUCGUGGAAUUCCCGGUGUAGCGGUGAAAUGCGUAGAGAUCG
rnacentral:rRNA from 1 species